rnacentral:misc_RNA from 1 species
GGGUUGAAUCAAGUCCAAGUCCUCUCCGCAUCUGCAUCUGGCGUUGUCUCUGCAGCCAUUGGAGAUGAUGGCUCUUUGUGGGUUUGGGGAAAGUCUAAGCGGGGUCAGCUUGGUCUGGGGAAGGGAANNNNNNGUACCUGCCAGAGUUGAAGCACUUGCAAGAGAAAAGAUAGCUAAGGUAUCAUUGGGUUGGGGGCAUACCCUUGCGUUGACUGACAAGGGAAAGUUAUUUGGCUGGG